AUGUCGACUGUUCCGCAUCGGAAACAACAGAUCAACGAAUCAGCGGACAGAAAAAUCAUCUGUUACUUAAGAAUAUUUUCAUCCUUGGUUGAGGAGGUAACUAACAUAUUCAUGUAUGAAUCAGUCAUUAAUUUGAGACGCUGUGGCCUCCUUGGUGACGUAAGAACCUUUCAAAGAAAAUGUCAAAUUACAGAAUUUAUUAAUUAUAAAAAUGUUUUCUAAUGUCUAUUUUCAAAAACACUGAUUUAGUAGAGGAUGAAGAAAAACACGAAUAUUUACUUCGACCAGUUUGAACUUGUGAAACUUAUUUCCGCUUUUUUUAUUAAAUUGAUUUUCAGAAGAAUUUCUGCUUAAUAUUCAGUUUAAUCUUCAUAUGUGUGUUUUUGAAAUUCGUCACGCUGAUGUGAACUUCUCCUGCUGUGUUGGUUGUGGUGUCGGACACCAGGGGGCGCUGCCGCCUCAGGAAACGCCUGCGAACGCUCGUCCGAGACUGUAAUUUAUUAUUUUAUCAUCGGAGCAGAAAACGACUCUGAUCUUGUUCGUCUGCAAUAAAUUAUUUCUGGGAUAAAAAUCUGCAGAGUGAGUGAUUAAUGUGUGGGUUUCAAUAUUUCUCUGUUUUUACUAAAGUUAUUACAGAACAAAGAGAGAACAAAUAAAAAUCUAUUUAAUUCACGUUGUAGUCUUUUGUUUCCUUCACACAGUUUGUAAAUCAUAUAUUUUAUUUUAUUGUUUUGAUUAUAACUGAUUUUUAUUUGUUAUUUGUGUGUUUUGUUGUAUGUAAAAUGUCUGACUAUAAUGGAAAGCCUCAAAUAUUAUUUUCUAAUUUAUGUUUACAAGCAGAUGUGAAAAUAUUGUGACAUAUUUUUUGUCUUCAUUUCCUGUAUGUAUGGAGGCCACACCCUCUCCUCUGAUUGGUUGACGCUUAAAAAGAAAUCAUAAUAUAAAUAUUAUUUCAAAGCAUUUGAUGCAAAUAUGAUAAAUUAACAUCUAUAAUAUAUAUUAAUAUUGAUGUCACUGCAUGUUAAAUAUUAUUUCUUACAAAAACAUUUUUUUAGAUAUUAAUAAUUUAUGAAAUUAUUGUUGGAUUUUGAGGAAUCUUUUUUCCCCCUAGUCAUAAAACUUUGAUGUCAAAAUACAUGUACACUUUCUAUAUUUAAAGUACAGAACUAUCACCAUCAGUUUGUACUUUACACGUCAUGUGUAAACAUGUAGUUAUUAAUAAAUAAUUAAUAAUAAGUAGCAGAAAACUGAACUGAAGAUCAGUCGUUGAGUAAAUGUUGUCGGUUACUUUCCACCAAAGCAGAGACAUAAAUGAAGCAGAAAA
rnacentral:lncRNA from 1 species